GUCUUCUUUAAGUUUAACCCCUUUAAUAAGGGGACCGGGCCUUUGCAAAAGGCGGUCCUGUAAGGGGGGGCGAGCAAUUCAAAACUCGGGGCGGUUGUAGGGACGCCUCCGCCGCCGCCACAGCCACGGGUAUCAGCCGGCGAGCAGCGACGGAGACACGGGCCCCCCGGGCAGGCGCCCAGUAGCAGCCCGUAGCAGGACCCGGGUGAGCAGCCAGACGGUCAACUUAGGGCGGGCCGGGCUGCUCACCCGAGGAGGACUGGCGCGUGUCUCUGUAUAGUAGUAGUAGUAGUUAUGUCUAUGGGAAAACGACUGAUUAAUUGAUUGAUAGUUUAUUGUUGCAAGUAAACAACAAAGGAGAAGGGAGGAGCAUGCCCUAAAAAAGGGAGAUUAAAUUAACGUACUGCAUCUCUGGCCGGGGAUUUCAGCAGCAAAAACACAUGCAUAGAUUAUUAGUAUUUCUUAUUAUGCCUUAACUGUCUUUUAGCCAGGAAAGAGAGUGGAAGAAAACGGACCUAUAGUAAGGGGGACUCUAUACUAUUACACAGCCUUGCGACAUAUUUUGUUAUCUGUAUCGUGGCCCCGUGGGUCAUUAACAGACAACGCUGCCACUGACCAAAGUUAUGUCACUGCUGAUAAAAACACCUGAAGCUCCCGUUCACACCGCAGCUUCCCACCAUACUGGUAAAAAUACUUCAUGACAUUGUGACACGACUAUUCUCAUUGCACAAAAUUACGUUACCAUUACAAAACAUUAUAACCAGUAGUGUUGCCUUAUAACGAAGAGCUUGGUUGUUGUUUUUAUUCCCAUACCACUAUGUAAUAAAAAAUGUGCCAACUGUCUGAUACCUCCAUUCUUUUACGGUACUACAUUAUACUUUUAUGGGGAGGGAAAGGAGGGAUGGAGAGAAAAGGAGUAGAUAAGAAGAGAUAAGGAGAGCAGGAGAGAAAAGACUUACGAAACAAACUGUACCCGUAAGAAGGAAUCCUCGAUUGUCACUUCUUGUUUGUAAGGACCACUUUUAUUGUUGCUACGGAGACGAACACAAGAGGCCACGCGCAUUUAGGCUAUAUAGCGUAUGUUAUCUUAAAUAAAUUAAAUAAAAAAUACAUAUACUUACCUUGAUAUAGAGGUGGAAGCUAAACAAGUCAUUAUAAUCGCUGUGAACUGAUGUAGAUUUUUUCAAACGUCGUAUUAGGCUAUUGUAGUUUUCAUCAAGACUAAUGUGGCUGAUUUGUCUUCUUUAGUCUGUUUAUCAAAGCAGUUAGUUGGUUUUGUUGAUUUUUUUUUAUGUUACUUUCUUACGACUAAGUUUAUAAUUUGUCAAUUCAACUGUGGAAAUCCAACACUUCUAACUAAACCCAAACCAGCCAUAUAAUCUAAUAAUUACAAAUCUUUCUUCUUUUUUUUUACAUGUGGUCUAUAGCGCCGGUAGCCUAUUACGUCGGGGCCUGAUGGUCGGUCCGAGCUUGUCAUGGCGCAGGCAAUUGUUUAUAGUGGCGCCAUUAUUAUAUUGCGACGUAGGUAUUAUUAUAGGCAUUACAAUUAGUAUACAAAACAAAGCAACAAGAUAUUAGUACAGUUAGGGUUAAUCACAAGGCCUAUAGUAUAUUUUUGUGAGGGUUUAUUGAUUUGGUGUAGUGAUUAUAUAUCGUUAUUAUACUUCGUGGCCCAGACUCCGCCCACACACAGGUAAUAAUUCACAGGUAAACACAGGUGACGGUGUGGAGGGGUCAGGUGUGUAGGUGAAAGGGGCCCAAGCGGUGGUGGUGGUGGAGGUGAAGGUGGUUAAAACACAGAAAUAAUGGUAAUAUGUAAUUUCCUCAAUGCUGUGGUAGAGGAAUAUGAAGUUUGGCAAUGUAUAAGUCUUCAUAGCUUCACAAAUAACGGUAUAAUAAUAUGUAUAACUGCCCCACUGUUAGGGUUAAGAAAUGUGAAGUUUGCAUCGGGUUACAGGUAAAUAACUGCAUAACGUCAUAGAUUAUGGUAAUUUAGGGUUGAGAAAUGUGAAGUUUGCAUCAGGUUACAGGUAAAUAACUGCAUAACGUCAUAGAUUAUGGUAAUUUAGGGUUGAGAAAUGUGAAGUUUGCAUCAGGUUACAGGUAAAUAACUGCAUAACGUCAUAGAUUAUGGUAAUUUAGGGUUAAGAAAUGUGAAGUUUGCAUCAGGUUACAGGUAAAUAACUGCAUAACGUCAUAGAUUAUGGUAAUUUAGGGUUGAGAAAUGUGAAGUUUGCAUCAGGUUACAGGUAAAUAACUGCAUAACGUCAUAGAUUAUUGUAACAUAUAACAUCUCCACUAUUAUGAUUUAAAAGUGUAGUUUGCAUCAGGUUUUAGGAAAAUAAUGGUAUUACAUAGUUUCAUAAUUGCAUAAAAUAUGGUAAUACAGAACCUCCUCGAUGUUAUGGUUUAGAACUUUGUUUCAGGCGACAAGAAAUUUUAAGUUGAUAGCAAAUUAACUUUUUUUUAAGUUAUUGCUAAACUUGAUUUCUUGAUAAAGACAAUAGCUUUAUGUCAUCUUGUAUGAAUGGGCAGGAAGCUUUCUGUUAAUUUUCACUUGAGUUGUAUUAGGUUUUUUGAUUUGUUUUUAAUAAUACACGAGCAACGUCUACAUGUAAAAACAUUUUUUUGUGUGUGAAUAAGAUAUUUUUGCAGCAUAGUAACAAUUUUCAUUCGAAUUUUGUUUUUAUCAUCGUAAUAUCAGGAAUCUUUGAUUCAUUAGUAUAAAAUAUACUAUUUGCUUGCGUGCUUUGCUUUGUAUUAAGAAGUAUUUGCCAUGAUUCAUCCACGGUAGAGGAAAGAGGAGGAAAAUUACGAAAUAAAUGAAGGAAAUCAUGUAUGAAGCAACGUGUGUGUGUGUGUGUGUGUGUGUGUGUGUGUGUGUGUGUGUGUGUGAACUGAACCUUUAACAAUCGGCACCUUUUCUGGAAUUUUGCGCGACCCGUAAUAUAACACAUACAAAUACAAGGUUUUACGUCACUGAAGCACAAAAAAUAAAAUUCAAGUCAUCGAUUGAAAACUGUAAUGACUUUUGCCGACAUAUUUCCUUAUAAGGGACGAAUGCGGAUGUAUUUAAUUAUGUGACAGUAAUCAUCUAAUAACUAGACGGCAAAGCACAGUGGAUAACCCAGCAUCGGAGGAAGGGCUACUUCAUGAAAAUAUUCCUGGCAUGUUAACAAAUAAGUCACCUCGAUCUUUACCUCGAUAACCCUAACAAAACAAAAGCAUAAACUGUUAAAGGUUCAAUUCUCAGUUUUCACGACAUGUGCAUUGCAAACAAACGACAGCAACAACCGUAGUAUUAGGCGAAAACCUCCUGAACUAUCGUAAAUACACACACAUAGAGAGUGAGGGACAUAUACGACGUAGCUGGCAACAGAUGAACGAACGGUGUCAGGCGCAAAAAGAAUAACAAAUGGUGUCAGGCGUGGGAGUGGGCAGACAAGUACGUUAUGGAGUAGGCUAUGCACAACAACGAGAUAUUGGAGUAGUAUCGUUAUUAUCAUCAGCAUUAUUACUGGUCGUGGUGUAAGUAUACGUGUAACAGUGUAUGCGUGGGUAUAUUAUUCAGGUCAUCAUAGUUUUGGUCUACACGGUUAUAAUGCUAGAAGAAAUACAUGUUUUUUGAGGCUGCGUUGAAGACUUUAUUUGUCUGGGAUAGUUUUUCUUUUGUUUUGUUUCUGUCGUCACUGUAACGUCGGGCUGAACAGAAAUUGUAAUUGUUCCGUGCAUUGGAAACCUCCCCAACAACAUAAAAAAUAAUAGUAAUUUAUCUUUGCCUUAGACUAAGAGUUGAGCGAUGAAGCUGAGAAAAAUUUUACAAAUUCUCUAGAGUAUCAUUACAAUAUUAAGAAAAGAAUAUUCUCUCUC